GAUGAACGCUAGCGGCAGGCUUAACACAUGCAAGUCGAGGGGCAGCGCGGGAUAGCUAUAUCCUGGCGGCGACCGGCGGAAGGGUGCGUAACGCGUGAGCGACAUGCCCGUUGCCCGGGGACAACCGGUGGAAACGCCGACUAAUCCCCGAUGGGAUACGAUGCUUCAUGGCAUUGUAUUGAAAGUUACGGCGGCGGCGGAUUGGCGCGCGUCCGAUUAGCUGGUUGGCGGGGUAACGGCCCACCAAGGCUGCGAUCGGUCGGGGUUCUGAGAGGAAGGCCCCCCAAAAUGGGACUGAGACACGGCCCAUACGCCUACGGGAGGCAGCAGUGAGGAAUAUUGGUCAAUGGGCGGAAGCCAGAACCAGCCAUGCCGCGUGCGGGAAGGAGGCCCUAUGGGCUGUGAACCGCUUUUGCCUGGGGGCAAUAAGGGCGUCGCGCACGUCCGAUGAGAGUACCAGGCGAAUAAGCAUCGGCUAACUCCGUG
rnacentral:rRNA from 1 species